rnacentral:misc_RNA from 1 species
GGCUUGAUGAACAAGAACCAAAUUCUGUGAUAUUCGUGUCUUUCGGGACGACGACUACGUUUUCUGAUGAACAAAUUAAGGAAUUAGCAAUUGGGUUGGAGAAAAGUGAACAGAGAUUUAUAUGGGUAUUGAGGGAAGCUGAUAAAGGUGACAUUUUUACAGGGGAAAGUAGAGAAGUUGAGUUACCAGAAGGGUAUGAAGAGAGAGUGGGGAAAAGAGGGGUUAUAGUGAGAGAUUGGGCACCACAAUUGGAGAUAUUGGGACACGAGUCGACGGGUGGAUUCAUGAGCCAUUGCGGGUGGAAUUCGUGUAUGGAGAGUAUAUCAAUGGGAGUACCAAUAUUAGCUUGGCCAAUGCAUUCAGAUCA